UUUUGUACCACACAAGAUCAGAAACAGCUCUGUCUUGCAGGAAAGCACAUUCCACACCUGGGAAUCCCCUCACCAAGAAGUGUUAAUAUAACUGACCAUAUGUUAUGCACUGCACUACUGCUGCUGCUAAGACAGCUCUUUCUCCACAGGUGAGGAGGCCUUGAUGUAUGCCAUCAGCUGGGUGGGGAGUGAAGCCUUAGGGGAGAUGAGGAAGUAGCUGGGGGGUUCAGGUUGCUGAAUGCAACAGGUGGGAUUCCGGCCGUGUUUCAGGAUCAGCUGAGAUGCACACUGUUCAUCUUUCCAUCAUCUUCUCUUGGGCAGGAAGCCUAUGUGCGACAACAUUUAAUUUUCCGUCACUUCUGCAGUGUUCUUCUAACUGAGAAGCAGGAAAAGAUGUCAUUUACUAGCAGCUUCAUUCCUCUUUAUGGAAAAUAAUUCUGCUCUUUAACCAUCAAACAUUCCAGCCUCCAAGCAUCCAGCUCAUCAUGAAAGGGAUGAAUGAAAUCUGCAGUUGAAGCACACUGUGAAAGAAACCUAGAAGCCAUUUAAAUGGCUUUGGAAAACUCUUUUUUCCUCAUUUUUCACCAGCUGUAAAGCUUUCCAGUAAGGACACUUAAGGAUUCGAUAUCUGCAGCUUCAAAGAGGGAUGGACUUGAGAGCUGAACUGCCUGUCUGUAGUUCUAUUUCCCAUUGAUACAGUUUAUCAUCAUCUAGGGCUGCUAAUUGUGCUUCAUAAGUGCACGUUGUAACUGAAUUGCCAAAACCAAAGGUAUUCAAUCCUUUCGUUUUUCCACUGGAAGCUUACAUUCCCACAAUUGUACUGAAUUUCAAAUCAGUUUUGUGUUCCCGCAGCUAAUGAGGGGACAGAAACUUGCAAUAUGGAACUGUAAACUUUUAAAGAGGUUCG
rnacentral:lncRNA from 1 species